GGGAGUGUCGCCUAACGGAAGGGCAUCGAUCUUCUAAAUCGACUUGUGUAGGUUCGAUUCCUACCACUCCUGCCA
rnacentral:tRNA from 1 species